ACCACCGUGCGAACCAAGCAAGCACCGCCUCAGUCAGGGCUGGGCCCAGCCCUCCAAGCCGACGUGGCCGGGCCUCGAGCGCCCUCCGCCGGUCGCCCCCAGGAAGCGCAUCAACCCCCGGGAUGCUCAGGCUGGCACCUUUUUUUUUUAAAACCCUGAGCAGCAGCAGCUGGGCGUGCUGGGAGGCAGGAACUGACCAGAGGCACUCCGUUUUCCAGCCGAGUGGGGAGGGGAGGGAAACCUAGCCUUUUCUCAUCUCAGUCCCACAGCACACCAGGCAGGGGGGGCUUCAUUUGUUUAGGCCACUUUUAUUCAACCACCGCCGCCUCUUACCUUUUAACCAUCAUUUCAGACGUCACAACUUCACUGUAAAAAAAUCAGAUUUAUCUGCACGUGUUACCUCUACAAUUAUGGCUGCAGAACGCCACGUGAUCGCAGGAGACUCAGGCAGGGGCACAGCUAUCAUGAAACGGGGCACGAGGAGGAAAGGAAAACAAAUGUCUUUGGGCCCCUAAGGGAGAAGGGGCGUAGGGGCCAACAAGCAGAUCCACAGCUUGCUCUUCACUCUGCAGCUUACCAAAGGGAAACAAAAGGGCCUGUUCGCUUUUUGUCCCAGGACCCAUUCUAACCUUGGUACAACUCUGGAAUAAAUCAACUUCUAAGCCCUGUUCCGACAUUGUACCUGCCUUCAGUUGCAAAGCAGCCAUUUGCUGGCGGAAAACAGGAAGAGCAGACUCACACAAGAACUUUUGAAAUUUCACCUCUUCUGUAUAGGAAACGGUGUGGAAUGAGGAGCAGUACUGAUUAGACUAUCUGACAAACCCAAUUAGUACCCAGGAGAUGUAGAGGUGAGAAGAGGUCAUUUAGGAGUGACAUGGAAGUACUUCUUCAGGCAGCACAAAGUUAACUUAUGGAAUUCUCUGCCACUCGAGGUGGUGAUUACCACGAACUUGGAUGGCUUUAAAGGACAGACCGAGGACAGCUCAAUUACUACUAGUCGGGUGGGCACAGGCCACUUCCAGCUUCAGAGGGAGGAUGCCACUAAGUCCUGGGGGCGGAGGCAACGGUGGGACAGGGGACAAGCCUUCACCCCCUGGCUGUGGGUUUCUCACAGAUAGCUGGUGGGCCACUGUCUGAAUCAGGGUGCUGGACUAGAUGGACCUUCUUGAGCCCAACUGAGCAGGGCUGUUCUUAUCACCUGGUUAACUUCUGCUUGACACCUGCAACUGACUGCUAAAUGUGCCAUCAAUACUAGGCUGGAGUAGAUCUGAGUUUCUCACAAGAUCACGUCAUGAUCUUCAAGAACCUGCACUGGAUUCUAACUGCUCCUUUCCCGUAGCUGAGUCACGUAGGCACAGCCCAACAUAUUGAGACACAUCAAAUACCAUCUGCCCCACGCCCAUUCUCCCCCUGGGGGCCAGCCCUAACCCCUGUACAUCAUUGACAGAAGCCACCUUUUACUACACCAGCUUGGACACACUUUACAAAGGUUUCAAACGGUUGGAUUGGAACCUGAGAAAGAAUUAGAUGGCCCAACAGCCACUGGUCGUGUUGCUGUUCUCCUCCUGAGCUGAAAAGGCUUACAAAGAUCAGAGUGAGGGCUCCUAAUUGAACCUGUGCAAGUUUUUACAAGGGGAGUAGGCCUAGGAUAGGUUUAUAAGCCAUUACAAGAGCAAGAAGUGAUGUUUCUGCCAGUAGUCCCUCAUGCUCAGAUCAGGCACUGGGCAUCCAACUGAUGCAAUCCAACUGAUGCAAGCUCAGGCACCUUCUUACCUUGCAGCCACAGCCAACAUCACCCUUGCUUCCCUACCACUUCAAAAAAAAGGCAGGACAGCAGAGGAGGAGCAGAAUAUAAUGCCAAGUAGAUCCCAAAGCUCCAACAUUCCACCCUCUGUUUUUUGAACAGACAAAAAGACAAAGGCAGCAGGGAGUGUUACGGCUACAGCAACAGCAGCAGAUACAGGUUUAGCAAGACAGUGGGUUGGCGGAGGUCCCACUAUGGCACCUGAGGCAGCCACUUCACCCUGCCUCCGCGGGCAACCCCUGCUGCUUGCUCACACCUCAGCAAAAAGUGGCAUAAUAUAGAGGAAUUGCAGGUGUCUGGUUGCUCCCAAACCAUUAAAAUAUGUUCUUGUUUUUCCAAUCUCAAGUCAUUAAUACCAUCUUUGUAAGCAAACAAGAUUGUAUAGCCAUUACCAUUUUUGUUUCUCCAAUUGUUCUGUGGAAGUAAAUGACACUGGUUAGAGCUGACACAUUCUGAUUAUACUCGUAACAAGCAAAUCACAAGAGUUGAAGGGAACAGUGUCUGCCUUCUAGUCCAAUCUGUGAUGCAAUGUAGGUAGUCUAGCUUCCACUUCCCCAACAGAUGUCUGUCCAGCUUCUGAUGAAAAGUCUCCAACAACUGAAAGCUCACUCCCUACUCAGCAUCUAGAACUUUUCAAGUCCACCACGCAAGUAUCCUGGAUUUUUGCUAUUCUGAGGGGGAAUGUAUCAGAAAUGUGCUCAGCCAAUUGUCUAUUUUCUUGUACUACGGCUACUGGAAGGAAACACAAUGGAACUUGGGAUAUACAACUGCGGGGGGGGGGGAGGGACCUAGCACUCCUUCCUCCAUCCUCAAGUUAGUUGAGGCCAUGAACAGCUUUGCCUUGCCAGCAGCUGAAUGGGGGUACAAAUGGAACUGUUCCUCCAGUUGAAUGUCUGCCUGGAAAUUUACUAUAGUAGGUAGCUUUUUGCUGUAACACUUUCAGCAAAAGAUGCUCAAGGCAGAUAUUAACCAGGUGCACCUCUAAGGAAUGAGUGGAGCUACAACUGUUGAAUUUUGGGCCUAGACAUCCCAGUGUCAAGCUGAAAUAUCAGCAUUACAUAUGGGUACAUGAAGCCCAAAGUAUAAAACAAGUAAUUGAGUGUACAAGCUCUUUACUACUUACAUGGUAAAGAAGCUGUAAUCACCUGAAACUGCAGUUUCUAAAUUUACUAAAGCAGGAAAAAUAUUGUAAUUACAAACUUGAACGUAAAGAUUUUAUUUUCCUCCAAAAAAAAAAAGAAUCAGAAAACUAACAGAAUUAUAUGCAUGUAUUGUGUGAGUAGUGUUAAAUUAUUUCUUCUGUAAUACUUACAAUUUGCACAGCAGUUAGGGUUUUUAAAUGACUUCCAACUGUAUUAUAUUCUUAAAUAUAUACAGGAGUAUGUUGAAUGCCUUAACACAAUCUUUGUUAGAGAUUAUAAAUAUUAAAAUAAUUUGAGACAAUCCCACUA